rnacentral:rRNA from 1 species
AUGCAGCCCCUUCUCGGGCUAGCCCUCCUUGCCCUGCUGCUCCUGGCCUCACCGGCGCCGGCGCUCUGCCGCCACCGCGCGCCGGCCGCGGCCACAACCGAGACGCUCGACGUCGCGGCCUCCCUCUCCCGCGCCCGCGCCGCCGUCUCCACCGACGCCAGCCCCCUCCACCAGUCCCUCGCCGCCACCGACACCGACACCAAUGUUCUCCCCGUUAAGGAGGAGCCCUCCGGCGGGCCGAGCGGCCGGCUGGCGCUGAGGCUCCACUCGCGCGACUUCCUCCCGGAGGAGCAGGGCCGGCACGAGAGCUACCGGUCGCUUGUGCUGGCCCGCCUGCGCCGCGACUCGGCCCGUGCCGCCGCGCUGUCGGCGCGCGCGUCCCUGGCCGCCGACGGGGUCUCCCGCGCCGACCUGAGGCCGGCCAACGCCACCCCCGUCUUCGAGGCGUCGGCGGCGGAGAUACAGGGCCCCGUGGUGUCCGGCGUGGGGCAGGGCAGCGGCGAGUACUUCUCCCGCGUCGGCGUCGGCCGCCCCGCGCGGCAGCUCUACAUGGUGCUCGACACCGGCAGCGACGUCACCUGGCUGCAGUGCCAGCCCUGCGCCGACUGCUACACCCAGUCCGACCCCGUCUACGACCCCUCCGUCUCCGCCUCCUACGCCGCCGUCGGCUGCGACUCCCCGCGCUGCCGCGACCUCGACGCCGCCGCCUGCCGCAACUCCACGGGGUCCUGCCUCUACGAGGUCGCCUACGGCGACGGCUCCUACACCGUCGGCGACUUCGCCACCGAGACGCUCACGCUGGGGGACUCCGCGCCGGUCUCCAACGUGGCCAUCGGGUGCGGCCACGACAACGAGGGCCUCUUCGUGGGCGCCGCCGGGCUGCUGGCCCUCGGCGGCGGCCCGCUCUCCUUCCCGUCGCAGAUCUCGGCGACCUCCUUCUCCUACUGCCUCGUCGACCGCGACUCGCCCUCCUCCUCCACGCUGCAGUUCGGCGACUCGGAGCAGCCGGCCGUCACCGCGCCGCUCCUCCGCAGCCCGCGCACCAACACCUUCUACUACGUGGGGCUUUCGGGCAUCUCCGUGGGCGGCGAGGCCCUCUCCAUCCCGUCCUCGGCCUUCGCCAUGGACGACGCGGGGUCGGGCGGCGUCAUCGUGGACUCCGGCACGGCCGUGACGCGGCUCCAGUCGGGCGCGUACGCCGCGCUCCGCGAGGCGUUCGUGCAGGGGACCCAGUCCCUGCCCCGCGCGUCCGGCAUCUCGCUCUUCGACACCUGCUACGACCUCGCCGGCCGCUCCAGCGUGCAGGUGCCGGCGGUGGCGCUGCGGUUCGAGGGCGGCGGGGAGCUGAAGCUGCCGGCGAAGAACUACCUGAUCCCGGUGGACGGGGCGGGGACCUACUGCCUGGCAUUCGCGGGGACGAGCGGGCCCGUGUCCAUCAUCGGCAACGUGCAGCAGCAGGGCGUGCGCGUCAGCUUCGACACCGCCAAGAACACCGUCGGCUUCACCGCCGACAAGUGCUAG